rnacentral:rRNA from 1 species
GACGAACGCUGGCGGCGUGCUUAACACAUGCAAGUCGAACGCUGAAGACCUGGCUUUUGUUGGGUUGGAUGAGUGGCGAACGGGUGAGUAACACGUGAGUAACCUGCCCUCUUCUUUGGGAUAACGCCCGGAAACGGGUGCUAAUACUGGAUAUUCACUGAUCUUCGCAUGGGGGUUGGUGGAAAGGUUUGUUCUGGUGGGGGAUGGGCUCGCGGCCUAUCAGCUUGUUGGUGGGGUGAUGGCCUACCAAGGCUUUGACGGGUAGCCGGCCGGGGAGGGUGACCGGUCACAUUGGGACUGAGAUACGGCCCAGACUCCUACGGGAGGCAGCAGUGGGGAAUAGUGCACAAUGGGCGAAAGCCUGAUGCAGCGACGCCGCGUGAGGGAUGGAGGCCUUCGGGUUGGAAACCUCUUUCGCUCAUGGUCAAGCCGCAACUGUGGGUUGUGGUGAGGGUAGUGGGUAAAGAAGCGCCGGCUAACUACGUG